UUGAGCUAUGUUAGUUCUAUGUUAGUUGAGCUAUAUUAGUUGAGCUUUGUUAGUUCUAUGUUAGCUGAGCUAUGGAAGUUGAGCUAUGUUAGUUCUAUGUUAGCUGAGCUAUGGAAGUUAAGCUAUUUUAGUUGCCCUGUAAAAGGAGGUUUACAUAAAAUAAUCAAAGAUUUAUGAUGGAUAAGAUGGAUGUUUUACAGUUGCCAGUUUGUGUCGCUCCUCGCCCUGUUGUUAAAAGAGGAUGCUGGUCAAAAUCUUCACGUUUUCAAGGGGAUGGGAUGUAUUGAAACUUGCGUCUGUGAUUGUGGCCCAGUGAGUUAUAGCUGAACUGUAGUGCAGCAGGCUGCAUUAUGGCAGAACUCACUCCGGAAUUAUGGACGCAACUUCUGAUACAAGUAAGUCUAUCGCUGACAUCYGAUUGCAGGUUUUGACCAGAGUUCUUCUCUAACACUCUGUCCCCAGUGUAAUCGAGCUGCCUUCCUUUAUCUGCCUCUAUCUGUGGUCCCUGGUCUGUGGUGGUGAUGACAUUAACAGACUUGUUCCUGUACGAGGUGUGAUUCACUCAAAAUGGCCACGUGCACUCCUCCUCUGAGUGUGCGAUGCAAUGUGCCUUGGCUUUGCUAGCUGACAUUUUGACUAACCUCGUUCCCGUGUGUGGUGUGUGUGUGUGCAGUGUGUUGUAUCCACAGUAUGGUCUACUGUUCUCCUAGCCCUUAUCAACUGGUUUAGAGUCCGUUUUGUUUGUCUCUCUCAUUUGUUUGUCCCUCUCACAGUGGRCAAUGGGAGCUGAUCCUGUGUCAGUUGUUAUGGGCAUAAAGUAAGUUGGAUAGCAUUAUCUACUGACCCUGGGCCCACUCUGGGUGUUGAAGCUAAGUGACUAACUGAYKGGUCUCUGUCUCCCCCUACAGUUGGCCCCUUAGCAGUGCAGCGUCUGGACAGCUCUACAGUGAGGACAUACUCCUGCUGAGGGAGGAGAAGAGAGACUGUAAGCUGUCCAGAUACUGUAUGUAGAGAAGGUCUUACUGUACCUUGGAGCUGCAGGACUGGUUAUCCUGCCUGGAACAAACAUUCUGACGAGACGCACUGCCAAGAAGCACCCCCCUACCUACCCUCCCACCCAACCUACCCCCAAAAAGAGGGGGGGGGGGCAGCGAGGGGUGCCUCGUGCCAAUCCGCCCCCCCUCUGCACUUACAAGUCAAGGCCCCCUGAAACCUGGGCAGCAGCUGCCGGUGCUACUUUCCUUCAGUCUGUCCUGUUGUCACCGUUUCUACCUUUUACAUGUACAAUAACUUGUUGAAGCAUAAUGUACUGUGUAUUUCUUCUACCAGGAGAUGUGUAGGUUAUCUGUAAAUUAAUAUAAAUAUGAGUUUUUUUAAAUAUAUAUAUAUAAAUAUAUACACAUCUAUAUUACAAAAAAGAAAAGAUAUUCAGAGUUUGUGCAAAUAAACCCCCCUUCCCAUUUCAAGUCCAUGUCCUUGGUUAAAAUAUGCUGCUCUUUGAACAUUUCUCCAUCAUUCCCUGAGAGACCAUUUUGUACAUAGUUAUUUUCCAUUGUGCAGGGAAACGUGUGUUUUCACCUUGGAGAGACUGUCCAUCUGGUCGCCACGUGACCUCCCCCCCCAGCUGGUAAAGCCUGCCCUCUAGUGGCGUGUACAGCCCCAUGUAUCCGUGUCACCAUCCACCAGCCACAGCCCCCCACCUCACAAUCAUGACGAAGCCCAUCUCAUAGCAAAGCAUUCUGGGAGGAGGACACAGAAACGCACUGUGACGUCUACUGAUGAUGUGACAAGCACUUUGAUACAACCACAGAAACUGUGGACUACAGCCACAGACUAAAAGAUAGACUCUACUCUGAAGCUACUCAGCUCAGAGAUCAACUAACAGCAGGAACACUCUUCAUCAGAUGAUCUCACUCACCUAUAGUACCUUGACCAUAAAGCCAUACAUGAAUAAACUCAAGCUGGACUUUUUUUAAUUUUGCCAUGGGGUCCGACUCAGCAUCGCUGAGAAAUAACUGAAAGACAGACUGCUUAACUCAGUGUGCGUAGACUGUAUAUGAACAUGUCGAAGUGAGGUGAAUUUUAAUGACAAACCUGUUGCUUGCUGUGACAUUGGUGUAACUGUUAACUCUUUGUUUUUGUCUGAGUUGCCAGGGAAACCUAUUGUACAGCCCUCCUACCUGUCUUUGAGUUAUUUCUGCUGGAGUACUCGAUCAAGUUUGACUUUUUUGUUGACUUUUACAUCCUCGAUUUGCACAAACAAAGAAUCAUUUUAUUUUGUGUCCAUUUUUUAUUCAUUGCUAAUUGUAUUUUGGUCAAAUCUACGUGGUGAUCAAUCAAAUUUUCAUUGCCAAUAAAAAAAAAUACUGUCAGUGAAGUAGCUGUUGAAAUGACUAUUUUUCACUCAUUGCUUCACUUCAGAGCUCUAGUAUGAAGAGUUCAUUCAUCAUAUUAAACUAUAAGAUAUAAACUAAACAUGACAAUUAUUUUAUUUAACUAGGCAAGUCCGUUAUGAACAAAUUCUUAUUUACAAUGAUGGCCUACAGGGG
rnacentral:lncRNA from 1 species